GAUGAACGCUUUCUUCUUUCCUAAUACAUGCAAGUCGAGCGAACAGACGAGGAGCUUGUUCCUUUGACGUUAGCGGCGGACGGGUGAGUAACACGUGGAUAACCUACCUAUAAGACUGGGAUAACUUCGGGAAACCGGAGCUAAUACCGGAUAACAUGUUGAACCGCAUGGUUCAACAGUGAAAGACGGUCUUGCUGUCACUUAUAGAUGGAUCCGCGCCGCAUUAGCUAGUUGGUAAGGUAACGGCUUACCAAGGCAACGAUGCGUAGCCGACCUGAGAGGGUGAUCGGCCACACUGGAACUGAGACACGGUCCAGACUCCUACGGGAGGCAGCAGUAGGGAAUCUUCCGCAAUGGGCGAAAGCCUGACGGAGCAACGCCGCGUGAGUGAAGAAGGUCUUCGGAUCGUAAAACUCUGUUAUUAGGGAAGAACAAAUGUGUAAGUAACUAUGCACGUCUUGACGGUACCUAAUCAGAAAGCAACGGCUAACUACGUG
rnacentral:rRNA from 1 species